GGUCUCAAUAGUUGUAGAUGAUGGCACCAGUCAUGGGAUACGGUUUACAACCAAUGAUGCAGCAACCAAGAAUGAUGGGCAUUAGACCAAUGGAUAUGCAACCGGGAAUAGGAAUGCAACCUAGCAUGGGGAUGCAACAACAAUGGAAAUGCAGCAGCCUAUGAUGUACGGAAUGUAACCUGGGAUGGGACCCAUGAUGUCACAGACCCGCCCACCUGCACAAACCAAUCAGGAUCCGUUUGGAGCAUUAUGAGAAUCGUCAUCUUGUAUCCAUCAUUCAGGAACAGACAUAGUUGUGUGAGUGUUUGUGAACCAGAUAAGGGCAGGGAACAAAUGUGUACAUAAUUGCCAUGGCAACCGUGAACUUCUACAUUCCUACACAAAUCCAUAUAUGAUCUAUGCACAUGAAGAAAAUGACUCUCAAAUAUGACUUUAUUCAAAAUCAGUAUAUGAAAAGUCAUGGACAUAUGUAGCAUUACCUCUGACCCACCAGUAAUACAAUAUCUAAAUAUUACAUAGAAACUCAUAGAACCAGAGGCCAGCUAGUCAUUCAGUUGUGCAAUUGUGAGGAGGCCAUAGUAACUGUUUUGUAAAUCUCAUCCCCCAUGUU